GCUAAAUCAGAUGUGAAGUUACGACCAGGCUUCAGAAAUAGCUGAAAGUAAAUAAAUACAUCGGGAUAACGUUAAGGUCACUGACUGUGCCCCAGAGUCACAAAAAAUUAACUUCUCGCCCGGGCCACGCAGGGAUUUGAGCGACGACGACUGAUUUUGCCAUAGAGAGUGCCAAGAGAAUUUCAGAUGAGCAGAUGACGAGGGGAGCCGACACUUGGAAAACCUGCCCUUCCUUACAACGGGAACGGAGGGAAAGGCCUCCAAACCUGCAGCCACUGCCGAGGAGGGAUGAUGAGCAAAUCCUGCAGCCUGCUGGAGUGCUGCGCCUUGCUACUCGAUGGCGCAGAGCUGGAGGUAAAUACGAAACGCCAUCUUCUCUCCCU
rnacentral:lncRNA from 1 species